rnacentral:rRNA from 1 species
CUAAGAAUCUUCUGCAAUGGACGAAAGUCUGACAGAGCGACGCCGCGUGGGUGAUGAAGGCCGGAAGGUUGUAAAGCCCUUUUCUAUCUGAGGAAUAAGCGCAGGAGGCAAUGCCUGCGGGAUGACGGUAGGGUAGGAAGAAGCCCCGGCCAAUUACGUGCCAGCAGCCGCGGUAACACGUAUGGGGCGAGCGUUGUUCGGAAUCAUUGGGCGUAAAGGGCGCGUAGGCGGAUCGGCAAGCUUGGUGUGAAAGGCCGCAGCUCAACUGCGGAGAGGCGCUGAGAACUGGCGAUCUGGAGUUCAAGAGGGGAAGCUGGAAUUCCUGGUGUAGGGGUGAAAUCUGUAGAGAUCAGGAAGAACAUCAGUGGCGAAGGCGAGCUUCUGGCUAUGAACUGACGCUGAGGCGCGAAAGCGUGGGGAGCGAACAGGAUUAGAUACCCCCGUAGUCC